rnacentral:misc_RNA from 1 species
UCAAACUUGGUCAUUUAGAGGAAGUAAAAGUCGUAACAAGGUCUCCGUUGGUGAACCAGCGGAGGGAUCAUUACUGAGUCACGUGCUCAAACAACCCUUCUGUGGACCUGAAAUAAACCGUUGCCUCGGCGGGCUGUCCCCCUUGCCAAACUCAUGUAGUAGGCGGGGGACCAGACAGUCCGGCACGCUUAAGGCGUCCGGCGCCAGCCGCUGGCCCCAAACAAUUAAACUCUAGUAACCUUACCUUCUGAGUUAUAAUAUAAAAAAUUAAGUCAAAACUUUCAACAACGGAUCUCUUGGCUCUGGCAUCAAUGAAGAACGCAGC